rnacentral:snRNA from 1 species
GAAUGUGAGGGCGAUCUGGCUGGAGCAUCUGUCACCCCACUGAUUCCCAGGGUUGAUUCGGUUGAUUUGGCUGGCUAGGCGGGUGGCCCCUUGCUCCCUCACCACUCCAAGUGCUACCCUCCUGAAGCUCAGAGGAUGACACCCCCCAUUCAGCAGAGAUGGAUGAGUUUUCAGUAAAGGGUAUAUGAGUAGUUGUGCUCCCUUGCUACAACUGCCACACGAGCUCUUAGCGGAAAUGCAAAACAAAAAUUUUGUGUGACUUCUAAUUUUGAACAUGUUGAUUAAUU